CUCCUGACCUUGUGAUCCACCUGCCUCAGCCUCCCAAAGUGCUGGGAUUACAGUCAUGAGCCACCGCACCCAGCUUAACAUUGCCCUGUUUAUAACCCUGUAUGGUUUUUGAUUUCACUUAACAUAAAAUCCAAAGUUCUUAAAUGGUGUAUAAGGCCCUUGAGACUCUGCUUCCUGCCAUUUCUUGGACCUUAUACACCUCUCCUCUUAUUUCUUAUGCUUCAGACACUCUUUUUUGUUGUUAAACCAGCCAACCACAUUUGUGGCUGAGGUUUUUGCCCUCACUGUUGUCUAUGCCUUGGAUGCCUUUUGCAGAUCUUUGCAUGCUAGUUGCAUCUUGUCAUUCAAGUCUCAGCUCAAAUGUCAACUCAGGGCAGCCUUUUCUGACCACCUGAUCUAAAGUAGUCAAUACAACCCCCUUGUUCCCACUUGUUAUUGUCCGUCAUAUCAUCCUGUUUAUUUUCAUCAUUAUAUCUAUACUGUCCAGUAUGGUAACCUGUAGGCACAUGUGUUUAUUGAGCCUUUGAAAUGUGGCCAGUGCAACUGAGGAACUGAAUUUUUAAAAUUCAAGUUAAUUUUAAUUAAUUUAUAUUUAAGUAGCCAAAUGUGGCUAAUGGCUAUAAUAUAGUAUGGCACAGUUAUAGGUGCUAAAACUCAGGUAUAUACAGAUUGAAUAUGUGUCCAACUUACACAGGCAGUUGGGGAUAUAAAUAUACCCCAAACAUCUAGAUUAAUUUGCACUAUACCUAUAGAUUUACAAAUACGGUUUAAUGUACUACUCUUCUAAAUCAAAUUCUUGAGUUUGUGUAUGUUGAUAUUAUUGUGGCUAUGAUCAAUUCAUGUAGAAAAUGAACAGAAUGGACCUCUUCACCAGUGAGGCCCUUUGCAAAACCUGUACAGAUGAUCUCAGACUUAUGAUGGUUUGGCUUCCAAUUUUUUAGCUUUACAGUAAUGUGAAAGCAAUGUGUACUUUGUAGAAACCAUACUUCAAGUUUUGCACCUCGAUCUUUUCCAGAGCUAGUGAUACAGUGGGUAAGAUACUCUUUUGUGAUGCUGGGUAGCAGCAGCAAAUAUGAGAGACUGUACUCUACAGUGUACAGUAUUCAAGAAAUUACAUGAGAUAUUUUCAACACUUCCUUAUAAAAUAGACUUUGUGUUAGAAGAUUUUGCCCAACUAUAGGCUAAUGUAAGUGUUCUGAGCACUUUUAAGAUAGGCUAGGCCAAGCCGUAAUAUAAAGAGUUUUGAACGUAAACUUUUGUACAGUGAAAUUUUACAGAUAAAAAAUGAAAUUAGCAGAGCAGGUAAAUGGGACCUGACUUAAACUGCUGAUGGUAUUUGCCUUUGCUUUUCUUCACUUUAUUUAUUAAUGUUAUAAAUGUUUAUUGGGAAGCAGAAAUCAUGAGAUCAUCUUAAAAUUUUUUAGCUGAUAUAGUUUUAAUUUCUUAACCCAGCUCAUCUCUAGAGGAUAUGUAAAAACAUAAAACACCCCAAUUACUUGUGAAUUAUAGAGGUGUAUCAGUUGGUUUAAAAGUACUUUUAUUGGGCUGAGCUCUUGGAAGACUGAGGUCCUAGGGUCACAGGCAUCAUGGACCAAUCUAAAGAAAACUACAUUUCAGGGCCUGUUAAGGCUACAUCUCCAGUUGGAGGUCCAAAACAUGUUCUCGUGACUCAGCAAUUUCCUUGUCAGAAUCCAUUACCUGCAAAUAGUGGCCAGGCUCAGUGGGUCUUGUGUCCUUCAAAUUCUUCCCAGCGUGUUCCUUUGCAAGCACAAAAGCUUGGCUCCAGUCACAAGCCAGUUCAGAAUCAGAAACAGAAGCAAUUGCAGGCAACCAGUGUACCUCAUCCUGUCUCCAGGCCACUGAAUAACACCCAAAAGAGCAAGCAGCCCCCGCUGUCGGCACCUGAAAAUAAUCCUGAGGAGGAACUGGCAUCAAAACAGAAAAAUGAAGAAUCAAAAAAGAGGGAAUGGGCUUUGGAAGACUUUGAAAUUGGUCACCUUCUGGGUAAAGGAAAGUUUGGUAAUGUUUAUUUGGCAAGAGAAAAACAAAGCAAGUUUAUUCUGGCUCUUAAAGUGUUAUUUAAAGUUCAGCUGGAGAAAGCAGGAUUGGAGCAUCAACUCAGAAGAGAAGUAGAAAUACAGUCCUACCUUCAACAUCCUGAUAUAAUCAGACUGUGUGGUUAUUUCCAUGAUGCCACCAGAGUCUACCUAAUUCUGGAAUAUACACCACUUGAAACAGUCAAUAGAGAACUUCAGAAACUUUCGAAGUUUGAUGAGCAGAGAACUGCUACUUAUAUCACAGAAUUGGCCAAUGCCCUGUCUUACUGUCAUUCAAAGACAGUUAUUCAUAGAGACAUUAAGCCAGAGAACUUACUUCUUGGAUCAGCUGGAUAGCUUAACAUUGCAAAUUUUGGGUGGUCAGUACAUGCUCCAUCUUCCGGGAGGACCACUCUCUGUGGCACCCUGGACGACCUGCCCCCCGAAAUGAUUGAAGGUCGGAUGCAUGAUGAGAAGGUGGAUCUCUGGAGCCUUGGAGUUCUUUGCUAUGAAUUUUUAGUUGGGAAGCCUCCUUUUAAGGCAGACACAUACCAAGAGACCUACAAAAGAAUAUCAUCAGUUGAGAAUUCACAUUCCCUGACUUUGUAACAGAGGGAGCCAGGGACCUCAUUUCAAGACUGUUGAAGUAUAAUCCCAGCCAGAGGCUAGUGCUCAGAGAAGUACUUGAAUACCCCUGGAUCACAGCAAAUUCAUCAAAACCAUCAAAUUGCCAAAACAAAGAACCAACUAGCAAACAUUCUUAGGAAUCGUGUGGGGGGAGAAAUCCUUGAGCCAGUGCUGCCGUAUAACCUGUCAGGAACAUGCCACCGAGAUUUAUUUUACCAUUGACUGCUGCCCUCAAUCUAGAACACUACAAAGAAUAUUUGUUUUACUGAACAGGUGUGGCUUGACCUCCCUACUCAGAAAACUCCACAUCAAUAAACAUGACACUCUGAAGUGAAAGUAGCCACGAGAAUUGUGUUAACUGGUUCAUAACCUGGAGGAAAGGUUCGACUGCAGCCACCCCGUCAGCCUGUGCCAGGCAUGGUGUCCUCCCAGGAGGCAAAUCCAGAGUCUGGCUGUGGGGAAAGUGACCACUUUGCCCUGACUCAAUCGGCUAAGGAGCUGUCCAAUAACCUUCCAAGUACCUGAGUGUGUAACUUAUUGGGUUUACCAAACCUAGUAAAACUGUUGGAAUGAGUAUGUGAUUCUUUUUAAGUAUGAAAAUAAAGAUAUUUGUACAGAAAAAAAAAAUUACUUUUAUUUUAAUGUGGACAGCUGCUAGAGAUACAGUGCUACUACUCUCUUCUAUAUUUGAAUUAUCAAGGUAUGACUUUAUGUUACUUUGUAUAUUUAAUUACAAAAGAAGACUGUCCUCUAUAGCUUUAAAAGAUGCUGAGCCCUACCCUUUCCCAAUGUUUGCAUUAAUGACAACUGUUAAUAAUUGUUUUUAUACGGUGGUGGGUGCAUGUAGUCCCAGCUACUCGGGAGGAUGAAGCUGGAGAAUGGCAUGAACCCAGGAGGCGGAGCUUGCAGU